GCUGGGCGAGGUGGUGCAGGCCUGUGAUCCCAGCUGCUCAGGAGGCUGAGGCAGGAGGAUUGUGAGUUCAAAGCCAGCCUCAGUAGUAGAGAGGUGCUGAGCAACUCAGUGAGACCCUUUCUCUA
rnacentral:sRNA from 1 species